UAGCGGAGGAAAAGAAACCAACAGGGAUUGCCCUAGUAACGGCGAGUGAAGCGGCAAUAGCUCAAAUUUGAAAGCUGGCCUCUGGUCCGCAUUGUAAUUUGUAGAGGAUGCUUUUAGGCAGCCGCCGGUCUAAGUUCCUUGGAACAGGACGUCAUAGAGGGUGAGAAUCCCGUAUGUGACCGGCUCAGGCACCUUCUGUAAAGCUCCUUCGACGAGUCGAGUUGUUUGGGAAUGCAGCUCUAAAUGGGAGGUAAAUUUCUUCUAAAGCUAAAUACUGGCGAGAGACCGAUAGCGCACAAGUAGAGUGAUCGAAAGAUGAAAAGCACUUUGGAAAGAGAGUUAAAAAGCACGUGAAAUUGUUGAAAGGGAAGCGCUUGCAAUCAGACUUGGCUUAGAUUGUUCAACCGGUCUUCUGACCGGCCUAUUCAUUCUGAGCCAGGCCAGCAUCAGUUUCGGCGGCCGGAUAAAGGCCUUGGGAAUGUGGCCCUCCCUUUCGGGGUGGGUGUUAUAGCCCAGGGUGUAAUACGGCCAGCCGGGACUGAGGUCCGCGAU
rnacentral:rRNA from 1 species